rnacentral:rRNA from 1 species
AUGGCCGCCGUCGUCUCCGACCUCGUCGACUUUCUCAACGCCUCGCCCACCGCUUUCCACGCCGUCGAUGAGGCGAAGCGACUGCUGAAGGCGGCGGGGUUCGAGCAGCUUUCGGAGCGGGAGGAGUGGACGGGGCUUCAGCCCGGCCGGAAGUACUUCUUCACACGCAACCACUCCGCCAUCGUCGCCUUCGCUAUCGGCGCCAAGUACGUUGCCGGUAAUGGGUUCCACAUCAUUGGCGCACAUACGGACAGUCCAUGCCUGAAGCUCAAGCCUGUCACCAAGAUAACCAAGGGAGGUUAUCUUGAGGUUGGAGUCCAAACCUAUGGAGGUGGAUUGUGGUAUACAUGGUUUGACCGUGAUCUUACCAUUGCUGGUAGGGUGCUUGUGCGAGAGAAGAAGGACGGUGUGGUCUCUUAUGGACAUAAGCUUGUAAGAGUGCAAGAGCCUAUCAUGAGAAUCCCCACUUUGGCUAUUCACCUAGACAGGACUAUCUCCUCGGAAGGUCUGAAGAUUAACAAUCAGAAUCAUCUUGUCCCAGUGCUGGGCACAUUGAUUAAGCAUGAAAUGCAGAAAUUAGUGGAAGGAAAUGUUCCAGGGGAGUCAUCCGGUGCCGAAAACACAAAGCACCAUCCACUAUUGUUGCAGUUGAUUGCUAAAGAGGCUAAUUGUGAAGUUGAUGAGAUCUGUGAUUUCGAGCUGCAGCUGUGUGAUACCCAACCAAGCGUUGUAGCAGGUGCCAUGAAAGAAUUCAUCUUUUCGGGAAGGCUUGACAACCUUUGCAUGUCAUUUUGUUCACUGAAGGCCCUGGUGGAGUCAACUUCUACCGACCACUCUCUUGAUCAUGAAUCUGGCGUCAGGAUGGUGGCUCUAUUUGAUCAUGAGGAGGUUGGUUCUGAUUCGGCUCAGGGAGCUGGUUCGCCUGCAAUGCUGGAUGCUUUAACAAGAAUCACAUGCUGCUUUAACCAUUCAAAUUCCAAGUUGCUAGAAAAGGCUAUUCAAAGGAGUUUCCUUGUAUCUGCAGAUAUGGCUCAUGCCUUGCACCCCAAUUAUAUGGAAAAGCACGAGGAGAACCACCAGCCAAAGUUGCAUGGUGGACUUGUGAUUAAGCACAAUGCUAAUCAACGAUAUGCUACAAAUGCCGUGACAGCUUUUAUUUUCCGAGAAAUUGCUGAGAGGCUCCAGUUACCUAUCCAGGAUUUUGUUGUUCGCAACGACAUGGCUUGUGGGUCAACAAUCGGGCCAAUACUCGCCAGCGGUGUUGGUAUUCGUACUGUGGAUAUUGGAGCACCACAAUUGUCUAUGCACAGCAUCAGGGAGAUGUGCGCCGUUGACGACGUCAACUACUCGUAUGAACACCUCAAGGCAUAUUUUGAAGAAUUCACUGAAUUGGAUAACAAAGUCAAAGUAGACUGCUGA